rnacentral:rRNA from 1 species
GUCUACUCGAAAGCUCUUCGGAGUGAUUAGGGUGGCGGACGGGUGAGUAACGCGUAAAGAACUUGCCCUUCAGACUGGGACAACUGUUGGAAACGACAGCUAAUACCGGAUAUUAUGAGACUAAGGCAUCUUAGACUUAUGAAAGCUAUAUGCGCUGAAGGAGAGCUUUGCGUCCUAUUAGCUAGUUGGUGAGGUAAUGGCUCACCAAGGCGACGAUAGGUAGCCGGCCUGAGAGGGUGAACGGCCACAAGGGGACUGAGACACGGCCCUUACUCCUACGGGAGGCAGCAGUGGGGAAUAUUGGACAAUGGACCAAAAGUCUGAUCCAGCAAUUCUGUGUGUUUGAUGAAGGCCUUCGGGUUGUAAAGAACUUUCAGUGGGGAAGAAGCAAGUGACGGUACCCACAGAAGAAGCGACGGCUAAAUACGUGCCAGCAGCCGCGGUAAUACGUAUGUCGCAAGCGUUAUCCGGAAUUAUUGGGCAUAAAGGGCGUCUAGGCGGUCUAAUAAGUCUGAUGUGAAAAUGCGGGGCUCAACCCCGUAUUGCGUUGGAAACUGUUAGACUAGAGUUUUGGAGAGGUAGGCGGAACUACAAGUGUAGAGGUGAAAUUCGUAGAGAUUUGUAGGAAUGCCGAUGACGAAGGUAGCUUACUGGACAAAUACUGACGCUGAAGCGCGAAAGCUAGGGGAGCAAACAGGAUUAGAUACCCUGGUAGUCCUAGCUGUAAACGAUGAUCACUGGGUGUGGGGGGUCGAACCUCUGUGCCGAAGUUAAUGCGAUAAGUGAUCCGCCUGGGGAGUACGGCCGCAAGGCUGAAACUCAAAGGAAUUGACGGGGACCCGCACAAGUGGUGGAGCAUGUGGUUUAAUUCGACGCAACGCGAGGAACCUUACCAGUCCUUGACAUCCUCUAAACUUUCUGGAGACAGAUUGGUGCCCCUUCGGGGGAAUAGA